GAGCCCUGUGGUAGCUGCAGUGCCAUGGAGGGCUUGUGAUGCUAAGUGGAGCUGGGCCCUAGGCUGACCCUUGGGAAGCUGGACUCCAUGAGAUGGCACCUGAAUGGCUUGGGAAAGAAUAUUCAGUUUCCACCCACCUUAAAGAACAUCUUUUUUGGUAAACUCAAGCAUAAUUUCCCUGAGUUGGAAAGAAAAGGUCUUAAGCCCUGGCUGGGUCUGUGUGAACCACUAAGUCAUUUGGUACAUUUUGGACCAUCCAUAUAACAGAGGGUCCGAAUGGUCCACAUUCAAAGACACAACAACAGCAGAAUCAUGGAAUGAUAAAGAAAAUAAACCAGCAAUUCCCAAAAUCACAGAUGGGAGGAUUGGACAGAGCAGAGCAAAAGAGCCAUGCGUGGGUGGGCCUGUGAACCAUCUGACUGUCACAGCUGUGGGUAUCCCCAGAGCUGCACUGGGGCCAACGACACAAAGCAGCGACAUCAUCAACAACCCUUAGGGAGGUGGAACAUCUGAGAGUCUAAAAGGGCUCCUUGUGUUCAGCUGUUGGAUCUCCCUGGAGUGAACACAAACAUGGUGCACCAGGAGUACCUGGGUCUCUUUCUGAGAUGACCGAGAUGGAAGCUUCAAUGAAGUCUGUUUGCAGUGCCAAAGCAAGGAACAAUCUGGCAAGUCUCUCCCGAGGCUGCUUGAGAAGCUUCCCUGGACUGGAGGCUCUGCCCAGCACUGCUGUGGGCUGAGAUAAAGCUGCAGGAGGUGGGGGAGCCAAAGCUAAUUCUUGAUUAUUCAGACUCUGCAUUAUCUCAACCCCUGAUCUCUUCCCAUCCCAUCUGCCUCCUCAGUCCUGGGUCAUUUUCACCGCUCAUUAUCACUGGCACCAGAGGGAAGGCAGAGAAAAUGAAGGGAGAUGAAAUUCAAAUGAAUCAAUUUUGCCACUUGUUAGCAGCUCUCAGCUCCCAAGUACACAAGGGGAGGAGGCUGCAGCUCUUCUGUGGGUUUCAAUUCUCCAUGCUAUUCUUGUCCCCGGUGCUGCCAGGCAAUAUCGAGUGGGAUGUAUGGAAACGAUCUGUGGGAUGAGAAAAGAAGGCAGGGGGAGAGCUCCCUGUAACAGUAGCUUCUUCAAAGAAAAGAAAAAGGAAUUGUAUGCUCAGCGGCAGCAUGCCACACAGAGUAGCCAGAUUUUUAUUAAACAAACUCGUGUUUGGAAGCAUACUAUCCCCUCAGAACUCGGGGAAAAGGGAUGCUGAGACCAUAUUUAGAGUCAUUAUAAUGCAGAGGAUACACUGAUUGUCAUAGCAGCAAAAAGAAAAUGAGGAAGUCUCCUUAAAAGAUUAUGCCAAAGACAGCAAAAGCAGAAGCAAGCAAGGGCUGUAUUAAAACCAGAAAGGAUAAUGAAAAGGAAGAAAAACACACUAAGACCUUUAAAACCACUGUCACUGACACAGGUAGGAUGGCAGGGAGAGGAUAGAGGCCCAAGGCAGACAGAAUUGUCUUUUUCUCUCUGAGUUUAUAAAAUAGGAAGGGGUUGGACUAUAAUUACCAAUGUUCUGUCCUGUUCUGUCUGACAUGGACACUGUGAGGCACCACCCAGCUAUUCCUGUGACUAAGGGCUUGUCCCAGCUGUUGGGAGUGCUGGUGGCAGGGAGCUUUCAGCUACCGUUCCCUUCAGAAUUGUUUCUGGGGCUGAGAACCACUUUUAUCUCCAGAAACUGCCCACAUCCAGUGACUGGCCAGUGGGGGAAGAUAAAAGCCUGGCUGUCUCAGCCCAGUUUGGGACAGCUUUGAAGUGCCAGUCUAGACCCAGAGCUGCCUGUGCGUUGCCCGAGGCUGUUAUUGCAUCUGCAUCACAGCUCCCCUCCUCCCUCUCUCCAUUCCUCCCCAUCUCAUUCACAAAUGCUGAUCCCAAGGGUACUCCUUAAUAAAUCUAUUGUAUGCCA